rnacentral:rRNA from 1 species
GGAGUCUAGCAUGUGCGCGAGUCAUUGGGACAUAACUAAACCUAAAGGCGUAAUGAAAGUAAAAGUCCGCCUCGCGCGGACCGAGGGAAGAUGGGCGUCGGUCAUAAAACGCCGCGUCCCGCAUUCCCGGGGCGUCUCGUUCUCAUUGCGAGAAGAGGCGCACCAAGAGCGUACACGCUGGGACCCGAAAGAUGGUGAACUAUGCCUGGUCAGGACGAAGUCAGGGGAAACCCUGAUGGAGGUCCGUAGCGAUUCUGACGUGCAAAUCGAUCGUCGGAACUGGGUAUAGGGGCGAAAGACUAAUCGAACCAUCUAGUAGCUGGUUCCCUCCGAAGUUUCCCUCAGGAUAGCUGGCGCUCGUAUUUCACGAGUCUCAUCCGGUAAAGCGAAUGAUUAGAGGCAUUGGGGCCGAAACGGCCUCAACCUAUUCUCAAACUUUAAAUGGGUGAGAUCUCCGGCUUGCUCGAACUGUUGAAGCCGCGAGAUACGGAUCAGAGUGCCAAGUGGGCCAUUUUUGGUAAGCAGAACUGGCGCUGUGGGAUGAACCAAACGUCGAGUUAAAGCGCCCAAAUCGACGCUUAUGGGACACCAUGAAAGGCGUUGGUAACUUAAGACAGCAGGACGGUGGCCAUGGAAGUC